GAUCCUGGCUCAGGAUGAACGCUAGCGGCAGGCCUAACACAUGCAAGUCGAGGGGUAACAGAGUAGCUUGCUACUGCUGACGACCGGCGCACGGGUGCGUAACGCGUAUACAAUCUACCUUUUGCUGAGGGAUAGCCCAGAGAAAUUUGGAUUAAUACCUCAUGGUAUCAUUGAAUGGCAUCAUUUUAUGAUUAAAGGUUACGGCAAAAGAUGAGUAUGCGUCCUAUUAGUUAGUUGGUAAGGUAACGGCUUACCAAGACAUCGAUAGGUAGGGGCCCUGAGAGGGGGAUCCCCCACACUGGUACUGAGACACGG
rnacentral:rRNA from 1 species